rnacentral:lncRNA from 1 species
CGUUUCCUCUCGGAUCCACCCUGUUUUCCAUGUGUCUCUCCUCAAGCUUUGUCACGGCCAACCAGUUACUCAGGUCUCCCCCCUUCCCGAUCCGAUAGCUUUUCCGCCUCAAGAACUGACCCCAAUUGCUGUGCUAGCUCACAAACCUCUGCAUGGUGAAAUCAAAGAAGUACUGAUUCAAUGGGACGGCAUUCCAAUUUCCGAAGCAACUUGGGAACAGAAGUCACUGUUUCAAGCAAAGUACCCUCACUUUAAUCUUGAGGACAAGAUUUGUCUCAAUGGGUACGGUAAUGUUACAAACCAAAUGGGUCCCAACAACACAAACAAAGAAAAAAAUAAAACAGACAACAGCAGCUCCAAUAUUGUGCCAAGAGAAAGGCCCAAAAGAUCAGCCCAAUUGCCCAUUAGGUUCAGAAUGUGAACAAAUAUCUUGAGGUGAUAAGCUUGUGAGCUGUCAUAGUACUAUCUCCAGCCUUUAUUACCGUUAGUACCUGGCAAUAUUUAGGAUAAGAAUAAUUUAGUUUCUCUUCUUCAAAUGCAGUAGAUGCUGACAAGUGUCUCUAGAUCCUAUAAUUAAGCCACAAUUGUAUUCCUUGCAGUGUAUUUAAGGACACAAAAAGUAAUGAAAAAGGCAGAAAAUUAUUAUCCUAAAAUCUUUCUUUUCUCUCAGACUUUCCCUGACACAGGGAAUUUAAUUCCUGCAUAUUUUUCCUAACAUU